rnacentral:SRP_RNA from 1 species
AGGUUGGGUCCCACGCAACAACUGCCUACGAACCGGGUCAGGUCCGGAAGGAAGCAGCCCUAAGUAGGUAAGUGUGUGCCGUGGGGGUGCCCGGCUGGAGC